UCAAGCCAGAGCUGUAGCAACAAUGGAUCCUUAACCCACUGCACCAGGGCCAGGGAUUGAACUGGCACCUCCACAGAGACAAGCUGGAUCAUUAACCCACUGUACCACAGGCGGAACUCCCCUUUAUAGGCUUUAGAAGUACUGGGGGAUGAGAGUUUCUGUUGUGGUAGAAUGGAAUUGGUGGUGUCUCCGACGAACCAGGACACGAGUUCGAUCCCUGGCCUGGCCCCAGUGGGCUGGGGUGUGGGAUGGUAUCCAGCAUUGCUGCAGCUCCAGCCAAGGUCGCAAACUGUGGCCUGGAUCUGAUCCCUGGCUGGGGAACUCCAUAUGCUACAAGGCCACCCAAAGAGAAGAAAAAAAAAAGUUACCGGGGAAAUGUAUUACUCCUUAAUCCAAGUGGUAGGAAAAGAGGAUUUAAAGUUUUUAUUCCUUAAGGAAUUUAUAUGAUAUAUACUACUCUUUUUUUUUGUCUUUUUGCUAUUUCUUUGGGCCGCUCCCGUGGCAUAUGGAGAUUCCCAGGCUAGGGGUCGAAUCAGAGCUUGACUGGUAAUGGGUAUGGAGUUUCCUCCUGGGGUGAUGAAAUGUUCUAAGAUUGUUUGUGGUCUAGGAUUGCAUAACCAUGUGACUAAACUAAAACCAACUGACUUGUACAACUGAAAUGGAUGAAGAGCAUGGAACAUGAAUUCUAUCUCAAUAAAGGUGUUACCAAAAAAGGGGAAUGAGAUAAAGUGGAAUGGGAAAUAUUACAGAAUGCUGGUGGGGAUGGUUCAGAAGAGGGAGAGGUUAAUGCUGUAGAAAAAAAAAAAAAAAGAGGAUAAUUACGAAGCAAGUCCUUAAGUAGCAAGAACAGAGCAAGAGGUAGGGAGAGGCAGUGCCCACAUGGAGGUCGACCUGUAUAGCAGGAGGUGAAGCAAAGCAUGGGCACAGGGAGUGACACACCUUUGAUGCUGGGGCUGGAGGAUUACAGAAAACAGGAGUGAAUGGUCCUCUAAGAGAGAAGGGGAGUAAUGAGGGAAAUUUAGUGGUAGGCAAUGCUAGGGUCUUCCAAGAGGUUUGUGGUCACAAAUUUAGCAAAUAUGGUGAGACCAUUUAACAACAAAUAUCCCCUGAAUGGCUGGUCAAGUUUAAGAUGCUGAGGCUGAACAGAGAAACUAGCAACCAGAAUCCAGAAGGUCAGGGGCAGCUUUGAUGGUCUCCCUUAGAGCCUUCUACCAAUCAGAGGAUGCAUGCUUGAGCAAUUUUGCCAAUACAAGGAACCAAGGUGGGGCCAAAGCAGGCCCUUGCCGGCUCCUGCGUGGAGGAGAGAAAACGAAGGUGUGUGGGAUUCAGCGGCAAAGCUUGCCCCAAGGAAAACAGUGGAGAUUGGGUUUUAGAGGCUAGCAGGGUUUUAGAGCUAGUCCCCAGUCAGUUCCCAGAAGACAAGCCAUCGAAUUAACCUAACGAAGCACAGGAUAGCACAGCCUCAGACCAGCACAGCUGAACACAAUCUUCUUGGCAGGCAGAGAAAAGAAAUGUCAAAAUAAGGCGCGGAGGAUGGAGGGAGGGAGGCUGCUUGAAUUGGAAGGGGUGGGGAGAAAGAAAAAAAUCCCGGCCCGAGACACUGAUAAAGCACCCUCUUUCCACCCACUGACACACAGCCUGAGGAUGUGUCCCAGAGCCUCAGUGUAAAGGCAUCAAACCACAGAUUAGUACGCACACUGCAUGAUGCUUUAUGAGUUUCUGAGCAUUUGCAGGCAUAGCCUCUCAUUCAGUAUUCGCAGAAGUCCCAAGACAGCAAAACGAGGUCAGCCAGGCGAUAAGCGACGGAGCGUUAAUACAUUCCAGAUCUGAUGGCUCCAAGGCCAGUGCUCCUUCCACAAGCAUUCACUGCCAUCCAGAGAGGCUUUCUCCACUAACUGGAGUACAACCAUCAGAAGGUUCCCUGUGUCCCAGAACCCUGCCAACCUAACAACCCAGCAAACGCCCUGCUUCCUGAGUGUGGCAAGAGCCAACCCUGGCAGAAGAUGCCCUGGAGUGCCUGUCAUCAUCUGGAGGAAGAGACCUGACAGCCCCUCCCUUAUACUCAACUCAAGCCCAGAGAAGCACGUCCUUGAUGUGUCUGAAAACUGGCUGCUUCACUUCCACAUGCUUGGCUAACUGAAGUCCUCACAUUGCAACCUGCUGGUGCCAGCCUCUGGCAUAAACCCCUCACUGUUACCCUAGUGACUCAGUCUACCACGCUCAUCAAUUACGAUCCCUCCAGCAGCCUCUGCUUCAGGCGCUCCUGCCUUCCUGCAGGACACUCACUCUGACAUGCUGUCCAGUCUGUGAUCUCAGCUCUGGUACUUCUGAUGCUGCCCAGAGUUAGCAGGCAGGAAAUCAGAAAGUGAGAACUUACACAUUUCUUCCAUCCUAUGAUCAUCACUCUGGUAACUUUCAAGGAAGUCCCAGAGAAAUAAACCAUCAGUCUCCAUCGCAAGAGGAUGGAUGCUGCCCCCAAAGGAACAGGCUCUAAGGGGAGGAAAGCUGGGUUGUGAAGCAUGGGGAAGGGGUGGGGAAGGGGGACAGCUGGGAUAUGGGGUCCCAGCUCUGCUCCAAACCUGCCCCUUAAGAGUCCCAGUGUGGUUUCCGGGUGUGUAGGGGUGGUGGAGGGGGAAGUCCAGGAAUUUGCUAUACAUAUCUACAGCAGGAAUAAAGCAGUCUAGGAAAACAAUACUAUCUCAUUAGCAAGGCAGGAGUUCCCUGGUGGAGAGUGUUUAAGGAUCCAGUACUGGUGCAGGUUUGAUCCCUGGCCCAGGAACUUUUGCAUGUUGCAGGUGUGGCAAAAAAAAAAAAAAGCAAGUCAAAGCUCAACUUUGAGGAGAGGUGGGUGGAUGGGGCAGGGAACUGAAAAUUGUCUAAAAACAAAGAACCACCUGUGUGAGAAAAGCAAGGGCAGUUCCUGUUAGGUUCCUACUGAUCAGCCUCUCCAGAUUAUUUCUUAUUUGCAUUUUAUUCAGUCUGGUAGUUUUUCUUUUCUUUCAAAUUUAGGGCCGAACCCGUGAAACAUGGAGGUUCCCAGGCUAGGGGUUAAAUCAGAGCUAUGGCUGCCAGCCUACGCCCCAGCCACAGCAACGUGGGAUCCAAGAUCCAAGCCGCAUCUGCGACCUAUAUACCACAGCUCACUACAACACUGGAUCCCUGAUGCACUGAGUGAGGCCAGGGAGUGAACCUGCAUCCUCAUGGAUACUAGUCGGAUUUGUUUCUGCUAUACCACAACAGGAACGCCACUAAUUUUUCUUUAGUUCUCUUUUCUUUUCCUAACUUGUGUUGGAUUGACACACUACCCCCACUCCCACUAUUUUUCCUUCUGGAUUGGAAAUUCUUUCUUCUAACUAACUAAAGUGGUUAUCUUAAAUUGUUAGCAGAUACAUAUUUUCCUAAUGAGGUCUACAGUUUUCAGCACUGUUAUUUCCCUUUAACAAGGCAGAAAUUUGAUGUGAUUUAACAAUGAAAUUCCCUUCCUUAUUCUACCUGAUUCUUCCUUGAUAAUGUGGCCAAUAAUUUUAGUUUUCCUUUUUUAAAACUAAAAAACAAACUAGAUUCUGGGUUUCUGUUCAGUGCGUUUUGCCAUCUGUGGUAGACACUGUUGGUUGCCUACUAGCAGCCAUUCCCCCUUUUUUCUUGCCAAAAGAAUCCUGAUUUUGUUCAGGCAGCAAAGAACCCAGUCCCAGGAGAUAAGACAAGCCUGUUCCAUUUUACCAGGAAUUGGUCUAAGGAUGAACCAGCUCAGGUCAAUGAAGCAUGAGAUGUCUGCUGGGGCUUCCCUGGAAAGAUUCUCCUUCUCAGAAAAGAGGCACAUUAGAAAGUUUCCUUUCUCUUAGCAUUUCCUACCCUUCCUGCUUAGGAUGCUCUAAGGUGAUAUAAUACCUGGAGCUGCAGCAGCCAUCUUACAACCAGGAGGAGAGAGCUCUUAUACCCUUAUGACAGCAGAGAAGAACAAUGGAAUACCUAGGGUUCCUCAAGUCAAUACUGGACUAAUGCUCCAACCUUGGAACUCCCUCCCUCCAACUUCUCAUUACAAGCUAGUUAAAUAUCUUCUGGAGUUUAAGUCCCUGUGGGUGACGUGAGCAUCCUGAUACACUGUCUACAGUUAAUUUACCAACACACAUCAAUUUCUGCACUUGGUUUUGCUGCUAGCAAUCUGCUCCUCUCCCCAAGUUUUCUUCUUACUGAAAUACAAACUUUUAGUAGUUCUUCUAGCAAGGACGUGUAGGUGAUAAAACUGUCUUAGCAGGUACAGAAAUAUCUUUAUUUCACCUCAUUCUUUUUUUUUCUUUUCCAGCUGCACUCACAGCAUAUGGAAGUUCCAGGGCCAGGGACUGAAUCCGAGCCAGAGCUGUGACCUACACCACAGCUGCAGCAAUGCUAGAUCCUUAACUCACUGUGCAGGGCUGGGGAAUCAAACUUGCAUCCUCACAGAGACUAUGUCAGGUCCUUAACCUGCUGAGCCACAAUGGGAACUCCUACAAUUUUUAAUGUAAAGUUUUCAUGUUUACAUAUUCUUGUUUCUUUUAUAAUUUACCUUUCUUUAACAAAUUUCUUGUUUCGCUAAUAGCCUCAAGGAUCCUUAACCUAUUUCUACUAAAUGUAUUUUCUGACUACUCUGUUAUUUUCAUUUCUUUGGGGAUAAAUUUUCCUCUGAUUUUGUUCUUCUUUCAUAUUAGUUUCCCUCAUAUUUCUGAGUAUAUAAGCUCAUCCCUUCUCCAUCUGGGGAUUUUCUCCUUUGCCUCCCCAGGUCCUCUGGGUCUCCUGGUCUAGAAUCAAAUCUUACAGUAGCAACUUAGCUUAGCUCCAGGCCCUGUCUCCCUAGGUAAGCAUCUUUGUAAUAAGCCCCAGCCCCAGGGAAUGGGUUACAGCAACUGUUUUCAGACUACUUUCCCAGCCCCUGGGUUCCAGCAGUGUAUCAGCUCUAACUCCAGGCUUUGUAUCCAGCACUCCAUAGCUGGAGUUAUGCGUAAAUCUGUUAUCCCAGAUUUCUAGCCACUUCUGCCUGCAUCCAGACUCAGAGACAAGCAGGCCUACUGCAGCUUCUGCCCUGCUCUCCUUCUGGUGUUCCUGUUCCAUUCCUCUGUGUGUGUGUGUGUGUGUGUGUCUUUUUGGGGCUGCAUCUGCGGCAUACGGAGGUUCCCAGGCUAGAGGUUGAAUUGGAGCUACAGCUGCCGGCCUAGACCACAGCCACAGCAACACGGGAUCUGAGCCGCAUCUAUGACCUACACCACAGCUCACCGAAACGCCGGAUCCUUAACCCACUGAGAGAGGCCAGGGAUCGAACCCAUGUCCUCAUGGAUACUAGUCAGGUUCAUAACUGCUGAGCCACACAGGAACUCCUUCCUGUUCCAUUUCUCAUCACAGGGAUGUUUAUCAUUUUGUCGGGGGAAGGAGGGGGAGUGCAUGACUACGUUUUUAGCAUUUUACCUUUUUAUGUAUUACUGCUCUGUGUUUAGAGCAUAAAUUUACAGUGCCAUCUUGACUGGAUGAGUUGGAUUAAACUAUUUGUACCAAGGAACCGGGAAUCCCUGCCAAAACCAGUCUCCUGAGAAGGCAUAUCAAACCAUCUCUAACGAGAUUCACAGAACUCCAGCCAACACACUGAGAGAUGCCGACUGAGACAGCCUGGGGUGAGCUGAUCAGAAGUCCCAAUUAAAACUGCUCUGCCAUCCCCACCCCAACUUCAUUCAAUCCACCAUGGGUGGGAGCAGGGCUGGGAAGAUGUGCAAACAGGAUCUUUCAGACGUAGUCUAAUCAGGCCCUCACCGAGGGAGGCCGUCCCUGCCUCCAGCCCCACUUCCAUACCACCUGAGCAUUUCCCAGUGUUUUACUUCGCCAAGGAAGCACGUACACUGGCCACAUGGACACCCCUGAUGAAAGGCCCUUCGGACCCUUUUCAAGUCCCAGCCCCCCUGCAGCAGCUCCAGCCUUUACAUCAAUUAGAUGUAAAGAACAGCAGUGGCUUCAGGAGCCAAAUUACAGCCCCAGCUGUCACCAGGCAGCUAGCCACUCUUUCCUUCCAAGCCAAGGUUCUUGAACAAUCAGAGGAAGGCUCUCCCACCUCCACCCUCUUCCUCUCAGAUUAAGUCCUGCUCUUUUCCUGCUAACCACCACAAUCUACUUUUUUGACUCAGACCCUCCUUGCUGUUUCUUUCAGCUGCAAAUGGAUUCUGAAGGUUCUGUCCUCAGCCCUUUUUCGCUUUUGCCCACUAUGCUCCAUCCCCUAC
rnacentral:lncRNA from 1 species